GACGAACGCUGGCGGCGUGCUUAACACAUGCAAGUCGAACGGAAAGGCCCUGCUUUUGUGGGGUGCUCGAGUGGCGAACGGGUGAGUAACACGUGAGUAACCUGCCCUUGACUUUGGGAUAACUUCAGGAAACUGGGGCUAAUACCGGAUAGGAGCUCCUGCUGCAUGGUGGGGUUUGGAAAGUUUCGGCGGUUGGGGAUGUACUCGCGGCUUAUCAGCUUGUUGGUGGGGUAGUGGCUUACCAAGGCUUCGACGGGUAGCCGGCCUGAGAGGGUGACCGGCCACAUGGGGACUGAGAUACGGCCCAGACGCCUACGGGAGGCAGCAGUGGAGAAUAUUGCACAAUGGGGGGAAGCCUGAUGCGACAACGCCGCGUGCGGGAUGAAGGCCUUCGGGUUGUAAACCGCUGUCGCCUGUGACGAAGCGUGAGUGACGGUAAUGGGUAAAGAAGCACCGGCUAACUACGUG
rnacentral:rRNA from 1 species